UAGGCGGGACGGGGUGAGUAAUGUCUGGGAAACUGCCUGAUGGAGGGGGAUAACUACUGGAAACGGUAGCUAAUACCGCAUAACGUCGCAAGACCAAAGAGGGGGACCUUAGGGCCUCUUGCCAUCGGAUGUGCCCAGAUGGGAUUAGCUAGUAGGUGGGGUAACGGCUCACCUAGGCGACGAUCCCUAGCUGGUCUGAGAGGAUGACCAGCCACACUGGUACUGAGACACGGACCAA
rnacentral:rRNA from 1 species